CUCCUGGUGGCAGCAAAUUAAAGUCUGAAGCCUUGGAAAAGGUUGAUCCUCUGCCAGUCCUCGAUGUUACUGCUAUCUACAUCAAAGAGGAACCUAGGGAUGAAACUGAAGAAGUAUACAUCAAAGAGGAACCAUUCGUAUUUGGAAAUGUGGCCUCUUCGAAUCAAUAUCUUCCUGGUUUACCAUGCAAGACAGAAGCUAAACUUGAGGCUCAUGACACCCACCCAAACUCCUCUCAAAACAUUUCUGCAUUGUUCUCGAAUCAGCUUGGCAAAGGUGGGUCAGCGCCAGCAUCAGGAGACGCUGCUGGCAGCGCUGGCGUCUCUGGGGUGUUCAGCUCCAAGCAACACAUGGAAAAAUCAUUCAAGUUCCAUGACUGUGAACAAUUGGGUACCACAAGAAAAUCAAUGCCAGAGCAUAUUAACUACAAAAAUUUGUGCAGAAAUGAGCACCAAUGCCAGUUUUGUUUGAAUUUGUGUGCCACUGAAGCUGAUCUCAAACAACAUAUUCUCCUACAUCAUCCUCAGAGAAAUGUGCAGAAAUGCUCUCAAAGUAAAUGUGCUGAUGGUUGCAAAGAAAUCUUGCACAAGCAUUGCCUUUCCAAACAUUCAUUAAUAAAGAAAUAUUGCUGCUCUGAGUGUGAUUAUGCUUGCACCACAAAAUGGGCCUUGAAAAGUCAUUGUCUUUUCAAGCAUUCAACAGAAAAAACUUUUCAGUGCACCAAGUGUAAUUAUGCAUGCGCUAUGAAAGGGGUCUUAAAAAAACAUUUUCUUUCCAAACACUCUAAAGAAAAACUUCUUCAGUGCUCUGAGUGUGAUUAUACAUGCACUACAGAAGGUCACCUGAAAAGACAUUUUCUUUACAAACAUUCAACAGAAAAACCUAAUCAGUGCCCUGAGUGUGAUUAUGCUUGCAUUACAAAAGGGCAAUUGAAAAGACAUUCUCUUUACAAACAUUCAACAGAGAAACCUGUAAAAUGUUCCGAGUGUGAUUAUG